rnacentral:tRNA from 1 species
AAUAGUAUAAUCCUAAAAUAUGUUGUCUUUCCAAGUCAGCGAUCCCUCGGGGUUACUAUAU